rnacentral:rRNA from 1 species
GACGAACGCUGGCGGCGUGCUUAACACAUGCAAGUCGAACGGAAAGGCCCUGCUUUUGUGGUCUGCUCGAUUGGCGAUCGGGUGAGUAACACGUGUGUAACCUGCCCUUGACUUUGGGGUAACUUCAGGAAACUGGGGCUAAUACCGUAUCGGAGCUCCUCCUCCAUUGUGGGGGUUGGAAAUUCUCGGCGGUUGCGGAUGGACUCGCGGCUUAUCAGCUUGUUGGUGGGGUAGUGGCUUACCCAGGCUUUGACGGGUACCCGGCCUGAGAGGGUGAACGGGCACAUUGGGACUGAGAGACGGACCAGACUCCUACGGGGGGCAGCAGGGGGGAGUAUUGCACAGUGGGCGGAAGCGUGAGGCAGCAACGCCGCGGGCGGGAUGACGGUCUUCGGGGUGUAAACCGCUUUCGCCUGUGACGAAGCGUGAGUGACGGUAAUGAGUAAAGAAGCACCGGCUAACUACGUG